UAGAGUUUGAUCCUGGCUCAGGACGAACGCUGGCGGCGUGCCUAAUACAUGCAAGUUGAGCGCUGAAGGUUGGUACUUGUACCGACUGGAUGAGCAGCGAACGGGUGAGUAACGCGUGGGGAAUCUGCCUUUGAGCGGGGGACAACAUUUGGAAACGAAUGCUAAUACCGCAUAAAAACUUUAAACACAAGUUUUAAGUUUGAAAGAUGCAAUUGCAUCACUCAAAGAUGAUCCCGCGUUGUAUUAGCUAGUUGGUGAGGUAAAGGCUCACCAAGGCGAUGAUACAUAGCCGACCUGAGAGGGUGAUCGGCCACAUUGGGACUGAGACACGGCCCAAACUCCUACGGGAGGCAGCAGUAGGGAAUCUUCGGCAAUGGACGAAAGUCUGACCGAGCAACGCCGCGUGAGUGAAGAAGGUUUUCGGAUCGUAAAACUCUGUUGGUAGAGAAGAACGUUGGUGAGAGUGGAAAGCUCAUCAAGUGACGGUAACUACCCAGAAAGGGACGGCUAACUACGUGCCAGCAGCCGCGGUAAUACGUAGGUCCCGAGCGUUGUCCGGAUUUAUUGGGCGUAAAGCGAGCGCAGGUGGUUUAUUAAGUCUGGUGUAAAAGGCAGUGGCUCAACCAUUGUAUGCAUUGGAAACUGGUAGACUUGAGUGCAGGAGAGGAGAGUGGAAUUCCAUGUGUAGCGGUGAAAUGCGUAGAUAUAUGGAGGAACACCGGUGGCGAAAGCGGCUCUCUGGCCUGUAACUGACACUGAGGCUCGAAAGCGUGGGGAGCAAACAGGAUUAGAUACCCUGGUAGUCCACGCCGUAAACGAUGAGUGCUAGAUGUAGGGAGCUAUAAGUUCUCUGUAUCGCAGCUA
rnacentral:rRNA from 1 species